UCGGAUAUGGUGUAACGGCCAACAUUAGCGCCUCUCAUGUGUUCUGAGGGCUGUUCGUGUUCGCGCUAGCUCGGAGUUCGAUUCCCCGUAUCCGAA